GACGAACGCUGGCGGCGUGCUUAACACAUGCAAGUCGAACGGAAAGGCCUUUUCGGAGGUACUCGAGUGGCGAACGGGUGAGUAACACGUGGGUGAUCUGCCCUGCACUCUGGGAUAAGCCUGGGAAACUGGGUCUAAUACCGGAUAGGACCGCACCUUAGUGUGUGUGGUGGAAAGUUUUUUCGGUGUAGGAUGAGCCCGCGGCCUAUCAGCUUGUUGGUGGGGUAAUGGCCUACCAAGGCGGCGACGGGUAGCCGGACUGAGAGGUUGGUCGGCCACAUUGGGACUGAGAUACGGCCCAGACUCCUACGGGAGGCAGCAGUGGGGAAUAUUGCACAAUGGGCGCAAGCCUGAUGCAGCGACGCCGCGGGGGGGAUGACGGCCUUCGGGUUGUAAACUCCUUUCGCCAGGGACGAAGCGUUUUGUGACGGUACCUGGAGAAGAAGCACCGGCUAACUACGUG
rnacentral:rRNA from 1 species